UUCCAGACUCCUACGGGAGGCAGCAGUGAGGAAUAUUGGUCAAUGGGCGGGAGCCUGAACCAGCCAAGUCGCGUGAGGGACGACGGUCCUAUGGAUUGUAAACCUCUUUUGUCGGGGAACAAAGGCGCCCACGGGUGGGCGGAUGAGUGUACCCGAAGAAAAAGCAUCGGCUAACUCCGUGCCAGCAGCCGCGGUAAUACGGAGGGUGCGAGCGUUAUCCGGAUUUAUUGGGUUUAAAGGGUGCGCAGGCGGAGGUGCAAGUCAGCGGUCAAAUUGCGGGGCUCAACCCCGUACUGCCGUUGAAACUGCAUCCCUUGAGUGCGCGAGAAGUAUGCGGAAUGCGUGGUGUAGCGGUGAAAUGCAUAGAUAUCACGCAGAACUCCGAUUGCGAAGGCAGCAUACCGGCGCGCAACUGACGCUCAUGCACGAAAGCGUGGGUAUCGAACAGGAUUAGAUACCCCAGUAAAA
rnacentral:rRNA from 1 species